rnacentral:lncRNA from 1 species
AACCAUCCAAGUAGAGGUCUAUGUUUUCCUUCUGUCUCAUCCCAACAGCUGGGGCCACGUGAUCUCCAAUCUUCACAAUCUGUGCAUGCUUAUUUUUUAAGACAAAUUUUAAUCUGAAGUAUGACAAACCACAAAGCCCUAGUCUCACAUUUUGGUCUCCUAUGCGCUGGCCAUACUUCUUGGCACUGCAGAUGCCCCAGUGUCCAACAGAGACAAAUUUCAAGCUUUUUGGUGGAACUUCUUUCUAAUGUUUUCUUUCCCUGCCUGCAGCAAAAAUCCCUGAUGCUCUCCCACUUCUAUCAAUACAUCUACAUGUUGUUCCAUUUCCAUUUCUUCUGCAGUGGUUUAGCUUGCUGCUAUCUGUGCCCCAAGUCUGGAAAAUGAAGUGGGAAGUUUUUUUUUUUUUUUUGCUUUUGGGGCUGCACCUGCAGCAUAUGGAAAUUCCCAGCCUGGGAGUCAAAUCAGAACUACAGCUGCUGGCCUACACCACAGCCAUAGCAAUGCCAGAUCAUUAAUGCUGGCCUUAGGAGGCAGAGACUGAUGCCUUGCUUCCAAUACUGUGUCCCAUAUGACUUUUCCUUGUGCAUCAUUUAGCUCAGCUGAGCAGACUUAAUGCCCAAAUUAAACUUUGCUAAUAGCUGGAAUCUGAGGCAAACAGUACUAAGAGUGAAACCAUAAAAAUAAUCAUCUAACAGUCUUUGCAUAACUUACUCAUCUUCAGUUUUCCGGGCUAGGGGUCAAAUUGGAGUGGCAGGUGCCAGCCUACACCACAACCAUAGCAAGACCAGAUUCAAGCCAUGUCUGUGAUCUACACCACAGCUCAUGGCAACUCCAGCUCCUCAACCCACUGAGCGAGGGCAGGGAUCAAACCCACAUCCUCAUGAAUACUAGUCAGGUCCUUAAUCCACUGCACCACAUUGGGAACUCCAUUGAUUUCUAUUUUUGCAAGUACAUAUCUCCAAAUAUCUAGCUUUGUUAUCAUGAAAACUCAAAGAAUGGGAGCUUCCAUCUAUCUCUAGACCAUCCUCUCAGCUCUGGGUUUCUUCCUGAGGGUCUUCUUCCCCAGAUCAUCAGUUCUGGCAAGAACCACAAGCUUCAUGGAGAGAGAAAAGACAUCUACAAUGGCAUAGCCUAACUCAUCAGUCUUACCUCUAAGUAGAUAUACCAAGAAUUAGUCAGGCUUUUUCCAAAUACAGGUGACAAAAAUUUAUCUUAUUUUCUUAAGAAAAAUAUUUAAGUCUUUGACUAAGAAAACUGAAAAGCGUGGUUGCUUGCUUCAGGCACGGCUAGACAAGGAGGUGCAAAUGAUGUCAUCUGUCUUCUGUCAUUUGACAGCCUUUUGCUCUCUUUCUCUUUUUCUUUAUUUGUCUUUCUCUUUUUUAAACUGUUCUUCCCUCUUCGUUUCUAUUCUUCCUGUUCUCCUUUCUAUUGAGUCCACCUUCAAGGAAAAUUCCUCCCAUUUUGGCACAAACAGCCACUAGCGGCUUUGGCUUUACAUUAAACUACAGCAAUCCAAUGAAAAGAAAAAAAUGUAACCUCUUUCUGAACGGUUCCAGCAAAACUUUGAGAGAGGAUGGUGAUUGGCCCAGCAUGGCUCUCUGAACCAAUCCUGUAACUGACUGGUCACCUGGAUAACAAACCUAUUCCUGUGAAAGAAAAGACAGUGCCCUGUGAUUGACAGUCCUAACCAGGGAGCAGAGAGGUAUUCCCUAAAAAGAUACACUUUAGGGCAUUCAAGAAAUAUCAGAUCUGAAUAAAAUAUGGUAUUUCCAAUAUUCAUUCCAGAGAUAUAGGUAUGCAAGACCAGGAGAUUAUUAGAGUUGUAGUUACACAUAAAUUUGAUAUGCUCAACAAGUCAGAGAAGAAUUGGGAAUAAUUAAUUAUAAAACUGGUUCAGUCAUAAGUAAUCUGAGACACUGUAUCACCAAAGGUAUGGAAAAAGGUCUCCGAAGUAUUAGACAAGCUUAGAUCCCAUAUAAGACCAAAUGUCAGGAGUGAUUCAGACAUACACGUUGUUUUUAAGUGCACUGAGCAAAUCAGAAGGGAGGGACCAGGAUGUAAAUACACCUGAGACAAGAACCACAAAUACUUGACCCUAUUGAAAGGUAUAAAGAUAAAGGAUGUAUAAGUGAAACACUGUGCAAGGUAAGAAGAAUAUACCACUAUCACAAUUAAUCCCUUUUUAUUACUACAUGCUUCAGUGAAUGAGUUGUAUUUACGGGACUUCAAAAUCAGAACGAACAAACAGAAAGAUUCUUUUGGUAGUCACAUGUUAUAAUUGUCUUAAUCUACAAAGGGUGAGGCUGAGUUGGUUUAGUAAUGAAGUGAUGGUAUUCAUAAGCACUGAUCAACUGUCGAUUUUAAUACCAUAGCCAUUAAUGCCUUGAUUUCCCAUUCCACAGGAAAUCAAAUGCAGCCAAGAACUCCUUAAAAUUUCAGCCACAUCCUGUAAUAGAGAGAACUUCCUACCUCCUCUCAUUCCUAAUGGAAUCACAGUUGUAAGACCAUUUUCCUCACAGAAUAGCUGAAAUGACCUAUUAACAACUGAAAGGCUGAAGACUGAAAAAAAAAAAAGCUAAUGUCUAUGUGAGCUCUAAUUUUUUUUUUUUUACCAAACAAAAACCAUAAAAAGCAUUGUAUGUGAAGUUACCUGCAGUAUACUAAGCUACAUGCUGCCUACAAUGUUGAAAACCCAGACUUUAACAUGAAAGAUUUUGAGCUUUAAAUUUGGAUCAUCAAUUUAUAAUUUUAAAAAAAUAUGUAAGUUAUAGACCUAGUGUGGCUUCCACCAAAAGCCGAGGGUGAGACAAAGACUUGGCUGCAGGUCAUGUGUUAAGGAGGUGAUUCCAGGAAACAGGAGUAAAGGAGCAGGGAGAGUGGGGCAAAAGAGGGAACCUCACUAUGAGGGCAUGUUAUCCAAGUCUCUGUGGAAGGCAUAGGGAGUCAGUUUGGCUGGGACUCUUGGAAAGUACGAAUUUUUUCCAGAAUUUUCCAUCUGAGGGAAGUAAGGAUGAAGCAUGGCUCCCACAUUGGUUUAUGGCUAACAUUUUCUUAGGGAGUAGGAACAGAGCUCACCUCAGGGCCAUGUUUAUACAUAUAUCCCAUUGCUCCAGGGCACAGGAGAGGCCCAAGGCAGAAAGCAGAAUAAUUCUCUAUCUGCUUGAGAUGGAACCUUGUCAACAGGAGAUGAACCUGAACACUCAGCAGCUGAAACAGAAGUGGGCCAAAGAAGUGAGAAUGGGGCUCCAAGGCAUGUGUUACAUAAAACAAACAUAUAAGAAGGUCAAAUACAAUACGUGGUUUGCCAGUAAUAAGUCCAUUAGCUUAGAAAUUCACAAACUGAAUUCAUAGCAUAGUUUAACUGACUUCUCAGAGAGUCUAGAGAUAAACUAUAGCAUUGUAAAAAAGAGGGCCAAAUUCUGCUUUUUAUUUAUGCACUGAUUCAACAAAUCUUGUAGGCAUUUACCAUAUGCUAGGUGCUGGAGAUACAUCAAAGAACAAGAUAAAUAAAGUGCCUGCCUCAUUGAGCUUAUGCUCUGGUUGGGAGACAGUCAAUAAAUGAUGAGUAAGUUAAUUUCAGACUAUUCAGUCAUUGGGGCUUGUGGAAAAUGAACCAGGGUAAGCUAAGAGCAAGAGAAGUAUGGCUGCUAUUUUAGGUAGGGUGGCCAUGGAAGGCUGCUCUAUGAGAAUGACAUUUAAGAAGAAACCUGAAUGAGAGGGAGCUAGCCAAAUGAAGGGCAGGGAAGACUAUGCUAGACAAAGGGAAUGGUGUACAUAGGAACCCUGAGGGCCACAUAAGUGCUUAUGGUGAAGUUGAGAAUGAAGAGAGAGGAGUGGUAAGUGAUGAAAUAAAACAGAUUGGCUGGGGAUAGGUCAGGGCCAUGGCAGGGAGGUUAGUGAGAUGGGAAACCACUGGAAAAUGGUAAUCAGAAAAGGGAUGUGAUCUGAUUUUCUGUUUUAAUAAGUCCACUCUGGUUGCUAAAUCUUGAUCCAUGCUACAUCAUGAAUGUCGAAAUCAUUAUGCUAAGUAAAAGAAUCUAGAUACAGAAGAACACAUAUUGCAUGAUUCUAUUUAUAUGAAAUAUCCAGAAAAGGCAUCUAUGUAUAGGGAAAAUAGACUAGUGAUCGCCUGGGGCUGGGCGUGGGAACAGAGAUUAACUGCAAAGGAGCAGGAAGGAUCUUACUGGAAUAAUGGAAAAAGCUGUAGGGCGGUGGUGGAUGCACGAAAUGGUAAAUCUGAAAACCAUCGCGAAGGGCAUACUUUCAACAGCAUGUAAAUUAUACCUCCAUAAAGUUGUUUCUAAAAGUAUAUAACUAUUUCUAAUCAUGGACAUGGAGAACAGACUUGUGGGUUGCCAAGGGGGAGGGAGUUGGAUGAACUGGGAAUUUGGGGUUAGUAGAUGCAAACUAUUGCCUUUGGAAUGGAUAAGCAACAAGAUCCUGCUGUAUAGCACAGGGCACCAUAUCUAGUCAAUUAUGAUGGAGCAUGAUAAUGUGAGAAAAAAGAAUGUAUGUGUGACUGGGUCAUCUUGUUGUAUAGUAGAUAAUUGAAAGAACACUGUAAACCAGCUAUAAUGGAAAAAAUAAAAAUCAUUAAAUAAAAAAAUAAUAAAUUAAAAAAUAUAUAUAACUAUUUCUAAAUAGAGAACAUGUAUCUUCAGAUCAUAUGGACCCUUAUCACAGACCUUGGCCUGAACUGAGCUUCCCCCAUCCCCCUUGCUUUAGGCGGCACCACACUGCCUGCCCCCACUUUGCAGUCACCAAGGUCCCACUUCAGAAUCUGGUGGAGUUAAGGCUUCUUCCUCUCCCAGCUUUCUUCCCUCUUCAGAGAUUGCACAGGCUUUCUCCAUGCCUUCUAUUUUCAGAACUCUCCGGUUGGUCGGUUCCUCUGUAAGAAAUCUCUUUAUCAUCUUUAGCCCAUCCACUUUUUUCUCUCAUUUUUCUAACUUUUGUCAACUCUUUAAAAAGAAAUGCUUUACUACUUUCUCUCUUCUCUUCCUCCCUUUUCUACUUCUAUUUUCUUCAUUGUCACCCAUCACUCUUUCUCCGUAUUUGUAACCCUUGUGAUUCCUCAGAACAACUGUAAAAACCAUGGCCCUUACAUGGGAGAAUAGUAUUGGGAACAGACACAUUAGUACCAAGAGAAAGGAGAGACUGGGUAGCACUUUGCCAAAUCAACCUCUAAACUUGAAAGUACCAAAAAAUUCUUUUCAAAAAUAUCUUGAAAUUUCCCUCUAUCUCACGAUUGUACAAUCAAACCUGCUCUUCUCUUUGCUACAUUCAUGGGAAAUUAAGUUAUUAAAGCAUAUAUUCAAACUUUGCUUAUUUGUAUGUAACUGUAUUUUAAAAUUAAUUUUCAUUAUGAACAAGAAUAACUGCAAAGAAAGUAUGCAUUGACAUCAGUAUAAAUACUUUUGUGGGCUGACCAAGUAUUUAUCAUGUUAUUUCUAUAAAAAAAAAAAAAGAUAGCUAAAGCCCAAGCAAAUCUUAGUUUAUUUUUGGUUUUUUAAUUGGAGACUGCUGUUAUGUAACUGGUUUUGAGUACCUUUACGUCUUAAGGGUUAUACAUAAUUGUUCCCUUAGCCAACCUAUCUUGUUUUGUUGCACUUUUUCCCUGAUACAUUCUUAAAAGCAAAGGGAAAUUAUAGAAUUAUAAUUAAGCAAAAUUAAAUUUCCCCGACAACAUCUCCGGAUCUUCCUUUCAGUGUGAAAUAUAUAAUGCUGGGAAUUAACAUAUUAAUUUAUCUCUAUUGUCAGAGUCCCUGUCUCAGUUAUGGAUAUGGAAAAGAAUCAGUUUCCAAAUUCCUUUAAAAGUCAGCUAAAGGGAAACCAUCAGGACUGUAGCUCAGGAUGCUGUAUUAUCUGAGGUUAUGAAAUCAGAGGUUAUAUUACAUCUUGCUUGAAGGGAAAUGCAUCUCUACAGACGUGCCACAGCAGACUGUGCUCAGGGGCUUAAAGAAACCCUCCAGCCCUGGUGGGAGAAGAAUGGGAAGAAACAAUGCUGACCUUUCACUUCCUGUAGGUUGCGCAUAAUUUAUGAGAUUUCUUUACAGCUUCAAAUAUCUUGUAACCUUAUGUAUACUAGUCAAACCAUGAUCGCGAAAGCUCAGAUCAUCAACAGCAAAAACUCCAUUUUGAUGUAGGGUAGAAUUUUCUAAUGUAAUCUAGAGGGAGAGCCUCUCAGCAGAGAGAGUUUUGCUUUCUGUUUUGAUUUUUAACUGCUAAUUUUUAAACAGGCUGCUAGAGAAAAGGGUGUGCAUUUGUUUCAGCUUUGGUCUGCAUUUCCUGUGUAAGUCCUUUGGGAUGGAUGUUAAGUAGAGAUAGGAAGCCAUUGGAAAAACAACAAGCAGAGAGAAAAUAUUAUUAUGACAAACUAAAAAUUAAUUUUCCCCAGGUUUUUUUUUUUUUUUUUUUGUGAAAGGAAAGUUAAUUUGGCAAGGUGAAAAAGAUGGCCCUCAGUCCUCUAUCUAGGCUCCCUGGUAAAAGAGUCCAGUCUAUGGAAAGAUCCUCCCCAAAGAUGAGCCACGAUCCAGCAAACCCUUCUUCACCCCUCAGGCUGAAGUCUGCAAAAAACAGAAGAUGACAUUUAGGGCUUUUACAGAGUUGGCAAACCUUUCAAAUCCUGCCCUUUAAUUAAUGAUCUGCUUUGUAAAACUAGGUAGCUAUAGUAGACAGUUCCACCCACAUGUGAAUCACUUAUUUUAGUAAGAAAAAACAUUGGCAUUUACGAAUGGACUUUGGGCUGUCACUACAUGUUGAUGAGAACAUUAUGCUCUUUGUCAAGCUGAGUUCCCAAUACACCCAGAGGCAGCACAGAUUUCGGUGGCAUCACCGCUGGUGUUGGGAAAGGAGGUGAGGAUUGGUUGCAACGACCCUGGGGAAUGUUACCCUCUCUGCAGACCUGGGCCAAAUGACUCCUUGCAAUGCAGACAAGAAGAGGUUAAAAGCUAAGUUUUCAUGUAAAAAUGUUUAUAGUUCAUAUUCCUCCAUAUAAACAUUUGGGGGGGGGGAAAUAAAUCCUCCAGCUUGGCAUGAAAAGAUUAGAUUCUACCCCAAACACUGGUUUGGAACUCAUCCCAAAAGAAAGCU